rnacentral:rRNA from 1 species
AAGCAAGAUGUGCUUCGGUGCCUCUGGUGCCGCCUUUAUGCAGUGAAGCCUUAUUUGUCUGAACCAAAAUCAAAAAGUUAAAACUUUCAACAAAGGAUCUCUUGGCUCUCACAUCGAUGAAGAACGCAGCGAAGCGCGAAAUGUAGUGUGAAUCGCAGAACUUAGUGAAUCAUCGAAUCUUUGAACGCACAUUGCGCCUCCCAUCAUCGGGAGGCAUGCCUGUCUGAGCGUCAUUUAAACCAUAGCUCCCAUCUGGGACUGUACUGGGCAUCGCCGACGGCGUAGCUUCAAAGACAUUGGUCUAAUCAAGCGGACGAGUUCCUUUAGGACGGACCGUUGGGUUGACCUUAAACCUCUGACUUGACCUCAGAUCAGGUAGGGCUACCGCCUGAACUUAAGCAUAUCAAUAAGCGGA